GAUGAACGCUGGCGGCGUGCCUAAUACAUGCAAGUCGAGCGAACAGACGAGGAGCUUGCUCCUCUGACGUUAGCGGCGGACGGGUGAGUAACACGUGGAUAACCUACCUAUAAGACUGGGAUAACUUCGGGAAACCGGAGCUAAUACCGGAUAAUAUAUUGAACCGCAUGGUUCAAUAGUGAAAGACGGUUUUGCUGUCACUUAUAGAUGGAUCCGCGCCGCAUUAGCUAGUUGGUAAGGUAACGGCUUACCAAGGCGACGAUGCGUAGCCGACCUGAGAGGGUGAUCGGCCACACUGGAACUGAGACACGGUCCAGACUCCUACGGGAGGCAGCAGUAGGGAAUCUUCCGCAAUGGGCGAAAGCCUGACGGAGCAACGCCGCGUGAGUGAUGAAGGUCUUCGGAUCGUAAAACUCUGUUAUUAGAGAAGAACAAAUGUGUAAGUAACUAUGCACGUCUUGACGGUACCUAAUCAGAAAGCUACGGCUAACUACGUG
rnacentral:rRNA from 1 species